rnacentral:rRNA from 1 species
AUUGAACGCUGGCGGCAGGCUUAACACAUGCAAGUCGAGCGGAGAUGAGGUGCUUGCACCUUAUCUUAGCGGCGGACGGGUGCGUAAUGCUUAGGAAUCUGCCUAUUAGUGGGGGACAACAUUCCGAAAGGAAUGCUAAUACCGCAUACGUCCUACGGGAGAAAGCAGGGGAUCUUCGGACCUUGCGCUAAUAGAUGAGCCUAAGUCGGAUUAGCUUGUUGGUGGGGUAAAGGCCUACCAAGGCGACGAUCUGUAGCGGGUCUGAGAGGAUGAUCCGCCACACUGGGACUGAGAAACGGCCCAGACUCCUACGGGAGGCAGCAGUGGGGAAUAUUGGACAAUGGGGGGAACCCUGAUCCAGCCAUGCCGCGUGUGUGAAGAAGGCCUUAUGAUUGUAAAGCACUUUAAGCGAGGAGGAGGCUACUGAGACUAAUACUCUUGGAUAGUGGACGUUACUCGCAGAAUAAGCACCGGCUAACUCUGUGCCAGCCGCCGCAGUAAAAC